rnacentral:lncRNA from 1 species
AGAAUAUUAAGUCUAAGACUGGACAAAUUUCUUCAGGAACAUAAUAUUAUACAUGAUAGUCAAAUUGGAUUCACAAGGAAAGCCAGAACUGCAGAUCAUAUGUUUAUUUUAAACUGUCUUAUUAACAAAUACUGUAAUUCAAAAGAAGGUAGACUGUUUGCCUGUUUUGUUGAUUUUCAGAAGGCUUUUGAUACUGUUAUACAUACAGGGAUCAAGAUUAAACUACUAGAUAUUGGGGCUGGGUCUUAUUUUUAUAACAUUAUUAAAAGUAUGUAUGAAAUUAGCAAAUCAUGUGUCAAAAUUCAAAAUCAAGUAAGUGAUUUUUUCCCAUUAGAUAUUGGAGUCAAACAAGGUGACAACCUCAGUCCGAAUUUAUUCAAGAUAUUCAUAAAUGAUUUGCCCAGAUAUUUGUCAGAUACUAGAGACCCAGUUAAUGUCAAUGACAAAGAUCUACAUUGUUUAAUGUAUGCUGAUGAUAUUGUUUUAUUAUCUACAUCAGCUGAAGGACUACGAGAAAAGCUGGGAAUGCUUGAUAAAUUUUGCAAAGAUUGGUGUCUCAAUGUGAAUACUAAUAAGACAAAGGUGCUGAUUUUCAACAAGGCAGGCAGACAUGUAAAACAGAUAUUCACAUUUCAGAAUAUAAAUCUGGAAUGUGUUUCAAAAUACAAAUACCUAGGUUUAUAUUUAAGCUCAUCUGGUUCAUUCAGUUAUGCUCAAAAUGAACUAUACAAAAAAUCCCUGAAAGCUCAUUUCAAAUUAAGGAAAGAUCUUUUAUCACUUAAUCCUGAUGUAAAAACAAGUAUUCAUGUUUUUGACCACACUGUAAAACCUAUUUUAUUAUAUGGUAGCGAAAUAUGGGGG